UUAAGCACUAAACAAUCAACCUGUUGAAGUCUGAUUUCUCCAAAACAAGACCAUUUCAACAAACACCAAACAGCUAAAACAAUGAACGAUUAAAGAGUAUGUAAAUAGAUUCCUCAAAAAGAUAUAAACACAAAGCACCAAUCCCCUGUGAAAGCUGACAUCCCCACAGAUUGCAAAACUCCACGUUUCGUCACUCUCUAACCAAUAUUCACUGAACGAGCAGCAAAAGAAGACUUUUAGAAAACAGUAUCAUGAAUCUCCUAUGAUUUCCACCUCAAUAAAUUCGCACUUACCACACAGCUCUAUCUCUCACGAUGCUUGGAGACCAGUUUCCCAUCAAAAAUCUCUUUUCAACUUUCAAAUUUCACAAAUUAUGCCAAAUUGCAAAAUGCUUAACUAUGUCUCUAAUAAAAUCCCUCUAAUUUUGUGAAAAACAGAAACUUUUCUGUUUUUCACAUUCCGUAAUAGAAAUUUCAGUUUUUUAUGACUACAAAAAAUACAAAAAUAUAAAUGAAAAAAAAAGAAAGAAAAAAACUGGGUAUCUGGACAGUGAACUACCAGAACUUUUUCUGUAACAUUCACAUUUUGAAUAGUGAUUAUCAGUCUGUCAUUUGCCAUCUGUCAUCUGUCAACAUGGGAUUGCCCAGCAGCUGUUCUAUGGUUGUUGGAGAGGUAUCAGAAUUAUACAUCAGAAUCAUUACAGUGCCCAACGCAAGGUAUGGGUAGCACUACUAAUAAAUGGCCAUUUAUAAAAGGUGUGCACCUUUACUUAUCAAGAUGUAACUCCAAUGAAUUGGUGGUUUGAUUUAUAAACAUCCUUCCAUCUUCUUCCGCUUGUCCGGGGCCCAAGCAGAGAAGCCCAGACCUCCCUCUCCCUGGCCACCUCCUCCAGCUUGGGGAACACAAAGGCAUUCCCAGGCCAGCAGAGAGAUAUAAUCAUUGACUCCUUGCAGAAAGCCUUUUCUGCUGUCCAGCACUCAUUACUUCAGCUUAAACUUGUUCUCAACGCAGACAAAACAAAGCUCAUGUUGUUUUCUAAAUCAAGGAGACGAGCCCAAACAAUCCCAUCAGUAACCACUCUUGAAGGUAAUAAAAUAGAGUUGGUUCACACCUAUAAAUAUCUGGGAAUCUUUAUUGAUGACUCGCUUACCUUCAAACCACAUGUAGAGAAUCUUGUGAAAAACCUGAAGUUAAAAUUGAGAUUUUAUUUUCAAAAUAAGUUGUGUUUCUCUUUUAAUACAAAGAAGCGGCUUGUUGCUGCAACAUUCUUGCCUGUGCUGGAUUAUGGUGAUAUUCUAUAUAUGAAUGCUUCUGCUCAAUGUCUUCGAAUGGUUGAUUCUGUGUAUCAUGCUUCUCUGAGGUUCAUCACUAACUGUAAAUUUCAGACUCACCACUGUGAGUUAUACUCUCAGGUAGGAUGGCCUGCUUUGCAUUCUAGCUGAAGAAUACCUGACCAGCCACGACAAGUAUGAACAAGAAGCCAAAAAACAUACUGAGGAGACUGCUGGUGAAUCACUGGAUGAAAAGGAGAAGAAACUGGUGGAACCUGAGAAAGAGUUUGUACCUCCUCAUCUCACCUGUCCACUUACCAAGAAGCUAUUUGUUGAUCCUGUGAAAACAAACAAAGGAGCGGUGUAUGAACGGAAGGCCAUUGAAAAACACCUGAGAAAGUCCAGAUAUGAUCCAUUUGCUGAACCAAAGACUAUUCUAAGAAGAACUGAUCUACGUCCAGAGGAGGACAUGAAGAGAAUGGUGAAAAAAUUCCGCUCUGGUCAAAUUCUAGAAACCAGGGUUUAGGAAUUCCAGUGUUUUCUUAUGUACAUCAGUUCUUCAUGUAAUAGAGUAUGUCAGUGAGUCAGUACUGAGUUAUUUUAUCUGCUGCAGAUUUUUAACAUGAUAAUAUUGUAUAAUCACAUUUGUAUGUUUUUAUGUUGAAAAAUUCAAACGUAGUCUUAAACUUUAUUUUCAAGAAUUAUUAAAAAAAUGAAUUAUUCAAUUUAAUAGGAAUCUAUAUAAUCACAAAUAUUUCCUCUCUGGCGCUGAGUGAAUAAGAAUGAAGAUACAGCUGCACACACUUUUGUUGAAGCUGGUUCUUACAUAUGGACUUCACAUUAUCGUUUAAUUUUUUGAAUGAAAUGGCUUCAGAAUGAAUGAAAUUGUAAUAAAAUGGCAAGAUCUGUAACCAUUUAACAUUUUAGUGACAUUGACCAUUGCUGUAUUCAGUUUUAUUGUAUACUGUCUAUGUACACCAAAAAGGUGCCUAUUCAUGACUAGACUUUUAAAUACAUUUAAUGUUAAAAGUAAAAUCAAGGUCACUCCCAGAAUCUGCCAAAAGUAGUUUUUCCACAUGUGAUUUUAGAGUUAUUUGAAAUGCCAAUACAGAAAAAAAAUGAAAAAACUAAGUUUUAAAAAAUGAACAUUUAAAAAAAGAUAACCAGGGCUAACCAAAAUUGAAAUCAGAAUUGAAAAAUGUUGGUUUUGAAAAUAAUUAUUUACAAUUAUCUUUUUGAAGGUCACAAGUGUAAAAGAGUUUAUGAAUGUUUCUGUUUUGUGUUUUUCUUAGGGUGUGGUAUGAAAGUAUUCCUAGAUUUUGUAUUUUAAAAGAGGGUAAUUACUGAUAUAGUCUCAUUACAUUGUAUUUGGCCUGUGAGGGAGCUUUAAAAAACAUGAACAUUAUCCAAUUUGGUUGUUAGUUAUACAUUCCUUUUUCUUUAUGUAUACAAGUUGUGUAUGAGCAUAUGAGCUACAAUAAAUUGAUUUCCAUGUGUAUGAGAAUAAAAACACAAUCUUACGUGCUGCA
ensembl:lncRNA